rnacentral:rRNA from 1 species
UAGGGAAUAUUGCACAAUGGAGGAAACUCUGAUGCAGCGACGCCGCGUGAGUGAUGAAGGCCUUCGGGUCGUAAAGCUCUGUCGCAGGGGAAUAACACAAUGAAUGUACCCUGCAAGAAAGGAUCGGCUAACUUCGUGCCAGCAGCCGCGGUAAGACGAGGGAUCCUAGCGUUGUUCGGAAUUAUUGGGCGUAAAGCGGGUGUAGGUGGCUUUGUAAGUCAGAUGUGAAAGCCCAGGGCUCAACCCUGGAAGUGCAUUUGAUACUGCGAAGCUUGAGUGUAGGAGAGGUUACUAGAAUUCUUGGUGUAGUGGUGAAAUACGUAGAUAUCAAGAGGAAUACCGGUGGCGAAGGCGGGUAACUGGCCUAACACUGACACUCAGACCCGAAAGCGUGGGGAUCAAACA